UGAUGAUGACUGAGAAACGCCAUGGCCUACCUGCUGAACAGCCUUCCUUACAUUGACCAGAUUCGAGAGGGCCUUAUCCAGGAGUGUCUCUUGUGACACAGUGCUUAGUGGUGAAAUAAGGUGAUACCCAAUAAUGUAUUAGAACAAAUAUUUUAUAGUACACCUAAAGAAAAGAAAUUAUUCUCAAGGCCAACGUAACUUCAAAAUUUCAUUAUAUCCUGGAUUAUAUUGAUGCAUUUUCAGAAAUUGAACCAUCACUGCCUCCCACUAGAUAUUAAUAAUUACACAGCAUAACCUACAGAAGGGAUCUCAUAUUCACAUGAAUACUCUAACAUCUACCAAAAAACAAAACAAAAAACAAAAAACAUGCAAACAAAAAACAUGCAAACAAAAAAACCAUGCACCCUACAGAACAUAUCUAAUACUCACAUACACACUCAAACAUCCCAAUCAAGAAAACAAAAAUAAAAAGGAUGCAAGCAAAAAAACCCUGCUUCCACAACAUCAAAAUUGCAUGAAAUAAAUAUCACUUCUCAUUAACACCUUUAAGCAUUAAUGGCCUCUACUCAACAGUAAAAGGACACAGGCUAACACAAUAGAUUUAAAAACAGGACCAUCCUUCUGUUGCACUCAAGGAACACAAUCCAACAACCGAGAUAGACACAACCUCAGACUAAGUAGUUGGAAAAAGUUUUCCAAGCAAAUGGACAUAAGAAAAAAGAUGAUGUAACCAUUCUAACAUGCAGCAAAUCAGACUUUCAACCAAAAGUAAUCAAAAGAGAUGUGGAAGGACACUUCAUAUGCAUCAGAGGAAUAAUCCACCAAAAUGGCAUCUCGAUUUUGGACAUCUAUAUGCCAAAGAAAAAGCAGCAAUAUUGGUGAGAGAAAUAUUGCUGAAACUUAAAUAUCACAUCGAACCUCACAUAUUAAUAGUGGGGAACAUCAAUGUCCCACUCUCACCAAGGGUAGGCCUUUGAAACAGAAAUUUAAAAAAAAUAAAUAAUAUAACUAACACGGGGUUCAAUUAAACUGACCUCACUGAUAUCUACAGAAUAGUUCACACGAACACAAAAGUACACACUCUCUUUUUAGUACCUCAUGGAACUUUAUCCUAAACUGACCAUGUUCUCCCUCGCUAAACAAGCCAUAACAGAUACAGAAAGACUGUGCUAACCAUUGGAUCUUCUCAGAUCUCCAUGUAUUAAAACUGGACUUCAACAAUAAGAAAAAAUGUAUAAACUCAUUGAAAUUCAAUAGCUCGCAACUGAAGAAUCCCCAACUCAGAGAAGACAUGAAAAACAAAAAGGGUUCCUAGAAUUUAAUGAAAAUGAAGGCACAGCUUCUCCAAACUUAAGGGACGUAAAAGCAGUGCUAAGAGGAACAUGCAUAUGCAGCACAGGGCACUUUCAUAAAGAAACCAGAGAUUUGACACAAGCAACUUCUCAGCACACACUAAAUCUCUAAAAUAAAAGUAGCAAAUACAUAUUAAAGGAGGAGACAGCAAGAAAUGAUCAGACUCGGGGUGAAAGUGAUCCAUCAGAAACAAAGUGAAUACAAAGAUUAAAAAAAAAAAUUAGAGCUGGUUCCUUGGGAACAUCGACCCGGCAGACAAAUCCUCAGACAGAUAAUGUAAUAGGUGGAGAGACAGCAUCCAAAUAACAAAAUCAGAAAUGAACAGGGAGCUGUAUCAAUGGACACUGAUGAAUGUCACAGAAUCAUUAGGUCUCACUUCAAAAACCCUCUGUAAUUAGAAGCUCUGAAUGAAGUAGAUGAUUGUGUAGACUGAUUACCCUGACCACAGGUAAAUUCAGGUAAGAUAAACUAUGCAAAUAGCUCUACAACACCUAAAGAGACACAAACAUUAAGUUCCCCCCCCCCAAGCAAGAGCCCCAGGUCCCGGUUGCUUGAGUGCAGACUCCUACAAGAUUUUCAAAGAAUUCUCAACCUACUCCAAAAAAACAGAAAAAGGAGGAAAAUGCCAAACUGAUUCCAUGACACCACUGUCGCCCUGACACCUAAAUCGACUCAACAAAGAUAGAAUUUCAGAUGAAUUGCCCUUAUGAACAUUGGUGGAAAAAAUACUAGGGAAAAUGCUCGAAAAUAAUAUUCAAGGGCAUAUCAAAACCGCCAUUUACUGCGAUCAUGUAGGCUUUCUACUGAGGCUUCAGGAAUGGAUCAAUCUAUGAAAACCCAUCAAAGUGAUCUACCAUAUAAGCAAACCGAACUGAAAAAAAAUAUUCUGCCCUCAGCAUUACCCAUUAAUGUGUGAGGUCCAC